CCCUGCCAGCCAUGACCAGCCUGAGCUGUCGCCAUCUGCGGGCUAGGUGGGCUGGGCGUCUCUCUGCCAGGACUGGGACUUUACUCAGGAGGAUGUCACCUGUGAGGACCCCAGCUGCCCGUUCUCCCAGCUCCCGGCGCUGCCCUCCCAGCUCCUGCUCUGUGAGCAGGUGUUCGGGCUGCCCAGCUCCUCCGUAGCCCAGGCCGUGGCCCGGACCAACGCCUACUAUGGCGGCCAGACGCCAGGGGCCACCCAGGUGCUGUUCGUUAAUGGGGACAUGGACCCCUGGCACGUGCUAAGCGUAACAGCAGCCUCAGGGCCCUCAGAGUCCGCCCUCCUCAUCCCUGGUGCCUCCCAUUGCAUGGACAUGGCUCCUGAGACUCCCUUGGACUCCCCCAGCCUCCGGCUGGGGCGCCAGAGCAUCUUCAGGUGGCUGCAGACCUGGCUCGGGCUGGCACAUGGGAGCCCGGGGAGGGGUGGGGGCUGAGGGGCCGGACCCUCGCCUCUCCCCCCGAGGCCACCUGGUUCUCAGACGGAAUCUCUGGACGGGAGAACAGAGCUUGUUUCGGAAGAGAAAAUUCCCAGGAAUCGGGCUUCAGCCUCUGGUCUGUGCACAACCGACUUGUUGGCUGCAAACCUCAUCUCUCCCGAGAGUGGACAUCAGUAUAAGGGGAGGGGAAUUCUCAUUGUGAAUGUUGGUGUUUCCUUUUAUUUUGCAGGGCUAUCUUUUCUAUUGUUUAAAGUAUCUUUCAGUAAAGCCUCUUUGUGUAAUAUAAUUCUG